AGGGAAUCUUCCACAAUGGACGCAAGUCUGAUGGAGCAACGGCCGCGUGAGUGAAGAAGGCUUUCGGGUCGUAAAACUCUGUUAUUGAAGAAGAACGUGUGUGACAGUAACUGGUCAUGCAGUGACGGUAUUCAAUCAGAAAGUCACGGCUAACUACGUGCCAGCAGCCGCGGUAAUACGUAGGUGGCAAGCGUUGUCCGGAUUUAUUGGGCGUAAAGCGAGUGCAGGCGGUCUUUUAAGUCUGAUGUGAAAGCCUUCGGCUUAACCGAAGAAGGGCAUCGGAAACUGGGAGACUUGAGUGCAGAAGAGGAGAGUGGAACUCCAUGUGUAGCGGUGAAAUGCGUAGAUAUAUGGAAGAACACCAGUGGCGAAGGCGGCUCUCUGGUCUGUAACUGACGCUGAGGCUCGAAAGCGUGGGUAGCAAACAGGAUUAGAUACCCUGGUAGUCCAC
rnacentral:rRNA from 1 species